rnacentral:lncRNA from 10 species
GCAGUGUUCCACUAUCCUCCUUCAGCUCCUGCACCCAGCACUCCGGGUGGGGGCUGUCCUUUCAAAGGCCACUGAACAGGUCCCAAACAAGGGUCUGCCUGUCUUCUCUGGCUUGCUGACUUGUGCAGGCUGCUCCCCCUGCAUGUCCUUGCCUGGCCAAGCUCUCCAUCCUACAUUCCUCCUGCUGCUGUGACUGGCCCUGUUUCUCUGCUCACCUGCCCCUGUCCCCUGGCCUGGACCCUGGGGGCAAAAGCUCUUAGCACAGAGCCUGGUGCUCAGAAGUGCCCCAUAAAUGUUGUCUGAAUGAAUGAAUAAAGGAAUGAAAUAAGGAAGGAACCAGCAUUUUUUUUUUAAUAGAGUCUCAGUCUCACUGUGUUGCCCAGGCUAGGGUGUAGUGGUAUGAUCAUAGCUCACUGCAACAUUUGCCUCAGAAAUCAAAAGGACUGAGAAGGCAAUGAAGACUCCAGUGCUUAGUAAACUGCAAGCUGCUGACCAGCUGCCAGGGGUUAUUCAUUCUCAGUGGCCUAAGGCCUCCUAAAAUGAAGGCUGUACCUCUGAGAGCUUCAGCUUCCUCUAAGAUUCAAGAGAACGUUCUUCUUACCAGAGCUGGGUGGUGUCUUUGGAGCGGGCGGGGUUUUUGCUGGAAUCCUGGUGGCGUUGGCCUGGCCCUUCUGGCCUGGAGGGGCUGCUCCCCGCGGUGUGGCGAUCUUCGUUUUACCAUCAGCCCCCUGUAAAUGAAACAUGAUAGAGGGGUUUUUCACCAUUGGGAAAAGUUACUGCCACCAAGAGUCAACACCAGCCCCACUCCGCCACCUUGACUCAAAACGUGGCUAAGACUGGGGUGACCCUUUGCCUCCUAGAUGCCACUAGUGUCUGCUACAACCACAAGGGCUUGCUGGGC